CUUUAAACAGUGUUAGAGCAUACAUCCUUUUCGUGGAUGUGGGUUUUUUAAAGA
rnacentral:tRNA from 1 species